rnacentral:rRNA from 1 species
AGCGAACGCUGGCGGCAGGCCUAACACAAGCAAGUCGAACUAAGCCUUCGGGCUUAGUUGCGGACGGGUGAGUAACACGUGUGAACGUACCUUUUGGUUCGGAACAACUAAGGGAAACUUGAGCUAAUACCGGAUGAGCCCUUAGGGGGAAAGAUUUAUCGCCGAAAGAGCGGCCCGCGUUAGAUUAGCCAGUUGGGGAGGUAAAGGCUCACCAAGGCAACGAUCUAUAGCUGUGCUGAGAGGAUGAGCAGCCACACUGGGACUGAGACACGGCCCAGACUUCUACGGGAGGGAUCAGUUGGGAAUCUUGCGCAAUGGGCGAAAGCCUGACGCAGCCAUGCCGCGUGAAUUAUGAAGGUCUUAGGAUUGUAAAAUUCUUUUACCAGGGACGAGAAUGACGGUACCUGGAGAAAAAGCCCCGGCUAACUUCGUGCCAGCCGCCGCUGUAAAAC